rnacentral:rRNA from 1 species
CACUGACAUUAGAUACCCGCGUAGUCCAGGGUGUAAACGCUGCAGACUCGGUGUUGGAGGCCCUUUGGGGCAUUCAGUGCCGGAGAGAAGUUGUUAAGUCUGCUACUUGGGGAGUACGUCCGCAAGGAUGAAACUUAAAGGAAUUGGCGGGGAGCACCACAACAGGUGGAGCCUGCGGUUUAAUUGGAUUCAACACCGUAAAACUCACCAGGGAAGACUGUUACAUGAAAGCCGAGAUGAAGACUCUGCUAGAUUUUCAG